rnacentral:tRNA from 1 species
AAAAAUGGCAGAAUAAUUUAAUGUGAUAAAUUUAGAAUUUAUAGAUGAGAUUAAAAAAAUUUUAAGAUCUCUUUUU